AUUGUGGGGGGUCAAUUUUUUCUCAUUUCAGAUUUCAGAAAUUAAAAAGAAUUAUUCUUCAAAUAUUUUUUUUUUUUCAAAUUUCAAAUAUUGAAAAAUUUCAAGAAGUAAUCUUUAAUUGGACAGUAUGGCGCAUUAUAUUUGUAAAAUCUUUGACCACAUUUAUUUAUUUGUUAUGCCGAAUCUAACCGUGUAUUUAGAUUUUUAAUUUUUGGUCCAGUUUUCAAAUUGGUCUACAUUAAGGUCCAAAGGGUCCAAAAUUAAACUUUGUUUGAUUUUAACAAAAAUUGAAUAUAUGGGGUUCUUUGAUAUGCUGAAUCUAACCAUGUAUAUAGAUUUUUUAUUUGUGGCCCAGUUUUCAAGUUGGUCCAAAUUGGGGUCCAAAAUUAAACUUUGUUUGAUUUCAACAAAAAUUGAAUAUAUGGGGUUCUUUGAUAUGCUGAAUCUAACCAUGUAUUUAGAUUUUUUAUUUGUGGCCCAGUUUUCAAGUUGGUCCAAAUUGGGGUCCAAAAUUAAACUUUGUUUGAUUUCAACAAAAAUUGAAUAUAUGGGGUUCUUUGAUAUGCUGAAUCUAACCAUGUAUAUAGAUUUUUUAUUUGUGGCCCAGUUUUCAAGUUGGUCCAAAUUGGGGUCCAAAAUUAAACUUUGUUUGAUUUCAACAAAAAUUGAAUAUAUGGGGUUCUUUGAUAUGCUGAAUCUAACCAUGUAUUUAGAUUUUUUAUUUGUGGCCCUGUUUUCAAGUUGGUCCAAAUUGGGGUCCAAAAUUAAACUUUGUUUGAUUUCAACAAAAAUUGAAUAUAUGGGGUUCUUUGAUAUGCUGAAUCUAACCAUGUAUUUAGAUUUUUUAUUUGUGGACCCUGCUAUCAAAUUGGUUCAUAUUGAGGUCAAAAGGGUCCAAAAUUAAACUUUGUUUGAUUUCAACAAAAAUUGAAUAUAUGGGGUUCUUUGAUAUGCUGAAUCUAACCAUGUAUUUAGAUUUUUGAUUUUUGGGCCCCGUUAUCAACUUUGUCCACAUUGAGGUCAAAAGGGUCCAAAAUUAAACUUGGUUUGAUUUUAACAAAAAUUGAAUUCUUGGGGUUCUUUGAUAUGCUGAAUCUAAACAUGUGUUUAGAUUUUUGAUAAUGGGCCCAGUUUUCAAGUUGGUCCAAAUUGGGGUCCAAAAUUAAACUUUGUUUGAUUUCAACAAAAAUUGAAUAUAUGGGGUUCUUUGAUAUGCUGAAUCUAACCAUGUAUUUAGAUUUUUUAUUUGUGGACCCUGCUAUCAAAUUGGUUCAUAUUGAGGUCAAAAGGGUCCAAAAUUAAACUUUGUUUGAUUUCAACAAAAAUUGAAUAUAUGGGGUUCUUUGAUAUGCUGAAUCUAACCAUGUAUUUAGAUUUUUGAUUUUUGGGCCCCGUUAUCAACUUUGUCCACAUUGAGGUCAAAAGGGUCCAAAAUUAAAAUUAGUUUGAUUUUAACAAAAAUUGAAUUCUUGGGGUUCUUUGAUAUGCUGAAUCUAAACAUGUGUUUAGAUUUUUGAUAAUGGGCCCAGUUUUCAAGUUGGUCCAAAUUGGGGUCCAAAAUUAAACUUUGUUUGAUUUCAACAAAAAUUGAAUAUAUGGGGUUCUUUGAUAUGCUGAAUCUAACCAUGUAUUUAGAUUUUUUAUUUGUGGACCCUGCUAUCAAAUUGGUUCAUAUUGAGGUCAAAAGGGUCCAAAAUUAAACUUUGUUUGAUUUCAACAAAAAUUGAAUAUAUGGGGUUCUUUGAUAUGCUGAAUCUAACCAUGUAUUUAGAUUUUUGAUUUUUGGGCCCCGUUAUCAACUUUGUCCACAUUGAGGUCAAAAGGGUCCAAAAUUAAACUUAGUUUGAUUUUAACAAAAAUUGAAUUCUUGGGGUUCUUUGAUAUGCUGAAUCUAAACAUGUGUUUAGAUUUUUGAUAAUGGGCCCAGUUUUCAAGUUGGUCCAAAUUGGGGUCCAAAAUUAAACUUUGUUUGAUUUCAACAAAAAUUGAAUAUAUGGGGUUCUUUGAUAUGCUGAAUCUAACCAUGUAUUUAGAUUUUUUAUUUGUGGACCCUGCUAUCAAAUUGGUUCAUAUUGAGGUCAAAAGGGUCCAAAAUUAAACUUUGUUUGAUUUCAACAAAAAUUGAAUAUAUGGGGUUCUUUGAUAUGCUGAAUCUAACCAUGUAUUUAGAUUUUUGAUUUUUGGGCCCCGUUAUCAACUUUGUCCACAUUGAGGUCAAAAGGGUCCAAAAUUAAACUUAGUUUGAUUUUAACAAAAAUUGAAUUCUUGGGGUUCUUUGAUAUGCUGAAUCUAAACAUGUGUUUAGAUUUUUGAUAAUGGGCCCAGUUUUCAAGUUGGUCCAAAUUGGGGUCCAAAAUUAAACUUUGUUUGAUUUCAACAAAAAUUGAAUAUAUGGGGUUCUUUGAUAUGCUGAAUCUAACCAUGUAUUUAGAUUUUUUAUUUGUGGCCCAGUUUUCAAGUUGGUCCAAAUUGGGGUCCAAAAUUAAACUUUGUUUGAUUUCAACAAAAAUUGAAUAUAUGGGGUUCUUUGAUAUGCUGAAUCUAACCAUGUAUUUAGAUUUUGUAUUUGUGGCCCAGUUUUCAAGUUGGUCCAAAUUGGGGUCCAAAAUUUAACUUUGUUUGAUUUCAACAAAAAUUGAAUAUAUGGGGUUCUUUGAUAUGCUGAAUCUAACCAUGUAUUUAGAUUUUUGAUUUUUGGGCCCCGUUAUCAACUUUGUCCACAUUGAGGUCAAAAGGGUCCAAAAUUAAACUUAGUUUGAUUUUAACAAAAAUUGAAUUCUUGGGGUUCUUUGAUAUGCUGAAUCUAAACAUGUAUUUAGAUUUUAGAUUUUUGGCCCAGUUUUCAAGUUGGUCCAAAUUGGGGUCCAAAAUUAAACUUUGUUUGAUUUCAACAAAAAUUGAAUAUAUGGGGUUCUUUGAUAUGCUGAAUCUUACCAUGUAUUUAGAUUUUUUAUUUGUGGGCCCGCUAUCAAAUUGGUUCAUAUUGAGUUCAAAAGGGUCCAAAAUUAAACUUUGUUUGAUUUCAUCAAAAAUUGAAUUAUUGGGGUUCUUUGAUAUGCCAAAUCUAACCGUGAUUUUAGAUUUUUAAUUUUGGGUCCCAUUUUUAAAUUGGUCUACAUUAAGGUCCAAAGGGUCCAAAAUUAAACUUAGUUUGAUUUUAACAAAAAUUGAAUUCUUGGGGUACUUUGAUAUGCUGAAUCUAAACAUGUGUUAAGAUUUUUGAUUAUGGGACCAGUUUUCAAGUUUGUCCAAU